UAUUCGCAGUUCGGUAGCGAAUGUCAACAUGUCCAGAUCAUUUUCCGUAGAAAACCCCGAGAGGGUUGUUUUGUAAAAUCUACAAACUGUGAACAUUAUCGAAGCAUUGCAGAAGCCCAGGGACAGUUAUGACAAAUUAAAUCAUAGUUAUUUAUGCCCGGGAAAUUCCGAUCAGCCAAAAGGGAAGCUUGAACUUGAAGGUCACAAACAUGUGCAAAAUUGCAGAUCCACGUUGCCUCGUCUGAAGUCAUGUCCUGUGCAGUGAGCAUGAGAAAAUCAACCCUACUUUACCCUAGACUAGAAAAAAGACUUGAGGUCAGAAUGCAGGAUGAUUGAGCAAGGAGUGCUGGCAGAUGGACUAUUGAGGUCAACAAAAAAUUUGGACUUUCAUCAGGUGGACACAUGUUCAGCAAGAAAUUCUCACAUCAAAUGAAUGAUGGCUGUCUGUGGAAAAGAGAUUUUCUCAGAAUAUAUCACAGAUCAGAAGCAGGAAUUACAUAUUUAUCUGAUCAAAGAAAUAUUUUUGUAGAAAUGUGGAAGUCAAUGCAUGUUAUCAUAGUUACUGCUGCUUGUUGCAUGAUUCCAUUCUUGAUUUUUUUCAGAAACUUUCAGUCAAAAAUAGUUUUAUUUAUAAUUAUAUAAUGUUUAAUUAUUUGAUUCCCAAGUACCCGAUACAGUGCACACUUUGUAGAAUGUGAUUACUUUACAAAAUCUUUGAUUCAGAUUUGAAAUCUUACUCCCAGAGUGAAUUUUUCAAGCAUUAUCUUUCAUUAGAUUACAAUGUGAAGAUUUACGUGUACUGGCAUUACAACAACUUGUAAAUGAUAUAUACCUAGCUCUAUGUAUUCAGUUGCUUUACAUUUUCAAAUACAGUUAAAAUCUUAAAAUACAGUUCUGGAAUACAUAAAAAUGUGCCUGCUUUAGAUCAUUUAGUUAAAGGGUGGUUUUAAGCAAGAGCAUGUCGAACAAAAUUGCUGGUAGUGGCCGGGUUAAAAUUUAGAUUUUUACAAAUGAACUACAUACAUGUACUUGCAGUAGAAACCCUCAAGAGGUAAUUUUUAAUUCAUUUCAAUAUAAGUUAUUGACACUGAUCAAUAAAUGUUUGUGCUACAAAUUCUUAAAAAGAAAUUUCAUCCUUGAAUAAGUAUUUUGCAUCUAAAUGUGAAAUUAAGUUUGAUAGCUGCAUGCAUAUUAUUGUUACAAAGUUCAAGGAUGUCAUUUUCAGGCAAAGAUGUCAAAGGGCAUUUGAUUGCCAUAGAUGGCUUUUUCGUUAUCUUAAAACUCCAGCAAAUUUUACGCAAUAUGUGAUCACAAUGAGGAGUUAUAUUUAUUGGUGCUGAACAAACUAUAUACUUAUAAAUGUGUGUAGGUAUUUAUUGUCCCUCGCUUUCGCGAAAGAGAGGGGACAUUAAAUCUCAUUCAUCUGUCGGGCUGUCUGUCACAAAAACUUUAACCUUGGCCAUAACUUUUGAGUGAGAAGAGAUUGGGCUUUUGUAUUUCACAUGUACAUUACCUGUAACAAGACCUUUCCAAAUAUACUGUGAAUUUUGACCCCGUGGCCUUGGCCUUGAAGUUUGACCUACUUUUCAAAAAAAUUAACAUUACCUUAAAUUGGUCAUAACUUUUGAAUGAGAAAAGAUAGGACUUUCAUAUUAUGCCUGUUUAUUACCUGUGACAAGACCUUUCGAAAUUAUACUAUGACUUUUGACCCCGUGACCUUGACCUUGAAGUUUGACCUACUUUUCAGAAAAUUGACAUUUCUUUAAAUUGGUCAUUAAAUUUAAAUGAGAAAAGAUAGGGCUUUCAUAUUAAAUAUGAACAUUACCUGUAAGAAUACCUUUCCAAGUGUACUAUGAUUUUUGACCCCAUGACUAUUACCUUGAAGUUUGACCUACUUUUCAAAAUUUUUAUCUUUGCUUAUAACUUUUGAUUUAGAAUAGUUAGGGCUUUCAUAUUUAAUAUGUGCAUUAGUAGUGACAAAGUGUUUCCAAGCAUGCUAUAAUUUUUGACCCCUUUACCUUGACCUUCAUGUUUGACCUAAAUUUCAAAAAUUUUAUAUUUGGUGAUUACUUUUGAAUGACAUAUGAUAGGGUGUUCAUAUUUGACAAGUGCAUUACCUGUGUCAAAAUGUUUCUGAAUAUGCUAUGAUAUUUGACCCCGUGACCUUGACCUUCCAGUUUGACCUAAUUUUCAAACAUUUCAUCAGUUUGCUAACUUUUGAAGGAGCAAAGAUACGGCAUUCAUAUUUGACAAGUGCAUUACCUGUGACAAGCAUUUCCAAAUGUACUAUGAUUUUUAAUCCCAUGACCUUGACCUUGAAGUUUGACCUAAUUUUUAAAAAGUUUAUCAUUGCGAAUAACAUUUGAUUGAGAGAAGAGAUGGUAUUUACAUUUGACAUGUGCAUUACCUGUUUCAAGACCUUUCUGAUUGUAUACUCUGGUUUCUGAUAUUUUUUUUUACAUGUGCAUCACUUGUGAGAAGAUCUUUUGGAUUUUAUUAUGAUAUUUGACCUCAUGACCUUGAUCUUGAAGUUUGAUGUAGUUUUGAGAAGCUAUAGUCUUUGCCAUAACUGUUAUUAAUUCAAUAAUUUAUGUUUUUUUGUAUGAUGCACUGAUAAGACAGGACAAACAAAUAAGACAGUUAAAAUAUGCCAUAAAUAAUGGCAUUGGCAUCCCAUCCACUAAGAUAUUGAAAGCGGGGGACCACAAUUCUUUGAAUUUGCUUGUUGUUUUCAAAACUCAGUUUACAAAUGUAAAAUAUCCAAUAAUAACAUAAUACCAGGGACCUAUAUGUAUAUAACUACAUAUACAUGUACAUGUAUAGGCAUAUAUAUUAGUCCCUCUGAUAUUCAUAUAUUAAGCUUUGAAUGGCAUGUUCACUAUACAUGUAUAUUGAUUUCAUGUUUAUGUCAUAAAUAAUGUAUUGAAAUCUUUUC